rnacentral:lncRNA from 1 species
UUUCUUCAAAGAAAUCUUAGUUGAAACUUUUUUUCUUCAAUUGCUCCCAAAGAGCCUAUAAAUAGACUAUAAAAAGACUUACUUCUGGUAAAGUUCGGAACUAAAGUGUUUGAGAUAUUGAUUUUCACGACCCAAUUUCCCUGGCCAUGACUGGCGCAUGAGCUCAAUGAGCAUAGCUCACUAAGCCCAAGCAAGCCUAUCCAUUUACCUUUGCUUAACAAAUUUAUCAUAUCAUGCAUACACACACACACACACACACCUUUUCCCGGGUGUGAACAUAGCCAAAACACAAUGGCAUUAUUGAUAAUAAUAUACAUGCACUAUACCAAUCAUGUAUUUAGCAAUUUACAUUGCAUACACAUAUUCACAUUGUUAGAUUGUAUUCACAAUACAAAAUGACCCAUGACUUCCAGCGGAGACAUUUACAAUAAAAGGGAUUACUAUCGAAUGCCAGACACAUACCCAGGAGAUGCACUAUGGGGACUCCUCGAUCUAGGAUCCAACAGUCACCUGAUCUGAAAACAUGAAUUUUUAUAAAACGUGAGUACAAUACUCAGUGAGUGAACA